AACGUAGGAGACAAACGUUAUCCGGAGUUACUGGGCGUAAAGGGCGUGUAGGUGGUUGCGUAAGUCUGGCGUGAAAUUUUUCGGCUUAACCGGGAAAGGUCGUCGGAUACUGCGUAGCUAGAGGACGGUAGAGGCGAGUGGAAUUCCUGGUGUAGCGGUGAAAUGCGCAGAUAUCAGGAGGAACACCAAUUGCGAAGGCAGCUCGCUGGGACGUUACUGAGCUGAGACGCGAAAGCGUGGGGAGCAAACAGG
rnacentral:rRNA from 1 species